UAGGGAAUCUUCCACAAUGGACGCAAGUCUGAUGGAGCAACGCCGCGUGAGUGAAGAAGGCUUUCGGGUCGUAAAACUCUGUUAUUGAAGAAGAACGUGUGUGACAGUAACUGGUCAUGCAGUGACGGUAUUCAAUCAGAAAGUCACGGCUAACUACGUGCCAGCAGCCGCGGUAAUACGUAGGUGGCAAGCGUUGUCCGGAUUUAUUGGGCGUAAAGCGAG
rnacentral:rRNA from 1 species